rnacentral:rRNA from 1 species
UCCGUAGGUGAACCUGCGGAAGGAUCAUUAUCGUGGGGGCUUCGGCCCCCUCGAGAUAGAACCCUUGCCUUUUUCGAGUACCUUCGUUUUCCUCGGCAGGCUCGCCUGCCAGUGGGGACCCAACAAACCCUUUGUAACGCCUGCAAUCGUCUGACAAAACAAACAAAAAUCAAAACUUUCAACAACGGAUCUCUUGGUUCUGGCAUCGAUGAAGAACGCAGCGAAAUGCGAUAAGUAGUGUGAAUUGCAGAAAUUGUGAAUCAUCGAAUCUUUGAACGCAAAUUGCACUCUCUGGUAUUCCGGGGAGUAUGCCUGUUUGAGGGUCGUUAGAAAAAAAUCGAAGCGUCACUCUUUAUGAAAUAUUUAACAUAUUUUGUUUGGAUGAUUGCGUCGGAAUUGAGCCGUCUUUCAUAUGUUAAUUCAUGUCAAAGUGGCUUAAAAAUUCAAUCAAUCUGGUACGAUUAAAGCGUAUUUAAGAUCAACCUUGAUUAAGAACGCGCGAUGACGUAUCAUCUCAUGUAGUACGUUCGACCUGCCUGUCAGGCUCAUUCGUAUACGAUACUUAACUUUUGGACCUCCAAAUCAGGGUAAGGAAUACCCGGCUGGAACUUAAGGCAUAUCAAUAAGGCGGGGAGGGG